rnacentral:rRNA from 1 species
UUGCACGCUGGCGGCAGGCCUAACACCUGCAAGUCGCACGGUAACAGGAAGAAGCUUGCUUCUUUGCUGACGAGUGGCGGACGGGUGAGUAAUGUCUGGGAAACUGCCUGAUGGAGGGGGAUAACUACUGGAAACGGUAGCUAAUACCGCAUAACGUCGCAAGACCAAAGAGGGGGACCUUCGGGCCUCUUGCCAUCGGAUGUGCCCAGAUGGGAUUAGCUAGUAGGUGGGGUAACGGCUCACCUAGGCGACGAUCCCUAGCUGGUCUGAGAGGAUGACCAGCCACACUGGAACUGAGACACGGUCCAGACUCCUACGGGAGGCAGCAGUGGGGAAUAUUGCACAAUGGGCGCAAGCCUGAUGCAGCCAUGCCGCGUGUAUGAAGAAGGCCUUCGGGUUGUAAAGUACUUUCAGCGGGGAGGAAGGGAGUAAAGUUAAUACCUUUGCUCAUUGACGUUACCCGCAGAAGAAGCACCGGCUAACUCCGUG